ensembl:lncRNA
CUUGCAUUGCAGAAGAUUGUUUGGGGUCCUGAUCAAGACCAGAAGAAGAAUCCCAGCACCCCUCCACCCGCAUCUUACCCCCUCCUCUCCAGCUUUAGCAUAAUUGCAUUCUCCAAAUGGUGUGUGGCAGCAGGAUAAGCUGAAAGGUCACUAGGAAGACGCCGAGUCACCCCACUGCAGACAGGCAGGUCUGCCCACGCCCUACCGAGGUCCCCAGUCUCGCGGAACACGCCGAAUCAGCCCGCUGCAGACAGGCAGGUCUGUGCACGCCCUACCGAGGUCCUGAGUCAAGCGGAAAACGCCGAAUCGGCCCGCUGCAGCUGCAGACAGGCAGGUCUGCCCACACCCUACCGAGGUCCCCAGUCUCGCGGAACACAUGCCGAAUCAGCCCGCUGCAGACAGGCAAGUCUGUGCAAGCCCUACCGAGGUCCUGAGUCACGAGGAAGACACCGAAUCACCCCACUGCAGACAGACAGCCACCUGAUUCCACAUUGCCAAGGCGCAGAGGACACCAGACCACCAGACCAAGUUUUGGUGUCAUGUGUCCUCUCCUGUCUUUCCUCAGGCUCUUGGUUGAAUGACUUAGAUCUCUGGAUUUCUACUUGUCAUCAAAUUUGGCCAUUCCUGGCAAAUGGAAUGAUAUGUAAGACAACAACAGGAGCAUGAAACAACAGGAUUCAUUUAGUACGAAUGCAAUAGGGGACAACGGCAUGUUCUGAGGCAGGAAGGUAUGAAAAGAAAGAAAGGAGGGACCAAAAGGAUUAAGAAUUUGUCUUGCUCAAAGACCUCUACACUGAAAACUACAGAACUCUGAAAAUGGAGAUUGAGGAGGAUAUAAGAAAAUGAAAAGACAUCCCUUGUUCCUGGGUAGGAAGAACCAAUAUAGUGAAAAUGGCC